AUUGCCCUAGUAACGGCGAGUGAAGCGGCAACAGCUCAAAUUUGAAAUCUGGCUCUUUUAGAGUCCGAGUUGUAAUUUGCAGAGGGCGCUUUGGCUUUGGCAGCGGUCCAAGUUCCUUGGAACAGGACGUCACAGAGGGUGAGAAUCCCGUACGUGGUCGCUGGCUAUUGCCGUGUAAAGCCCCUUCGACGAGUCGAGUUGUUUGGGAAUGCAGCUCUAAAUGGGAGGUACAUUUCUUCUAAAGCUAAAUAUUGGCCAGAGACCGAUAGCGCACAAGUAGAGUGAUCGAAAGAUGAAAAGCACUUUGGAAAGAGAGUCAAACAGCACGUGAAAUUGUUGAAAGGGAAGCGCUUGCAGCCAGACUUGCUUACAGUUGCUCAUCCGGGUUUCUACCCGGUGCACUCUUCUGUAGGCAGGCCAGCAUCAGUUUGGGCGGUAGGAUAAAGGUCUCUGUCACGUACCUCCUUUCGGGGAGGCCUUAUAGGGGAGACGACAUACUACCAGCCUGGACUGAGGUCCGCGCAUCUGCUAGGAUGCUGGCGUAAUGGCUGUAAGCGGCCCGUCUUGAAACACGGACCAAGGAGUCUAACAUCUAUGCGAGUGUUUGGGUGUCAAGCCCGAGCGCGUAAUGAAAGUGAACGGAGGUGGGAACCCGCAAGGGUGCACCAUCGACCGAUCCUGAUGUCUUCGGAAGGAUUUGAGUAAGAGCAUGGCUGUUGGGACCCGAAAGAUGGUGAACUAUGCUUGAAUAGGGUGAAGCCAGAGGAAACUCUGGUGGAGGCUCGCAGCGGUUCUGACGUGCAAAUCGAUCGUCAAA
rnacentral:rRNA from 1 species